rnacentral:rRNA from 1 species
GGCGGCGUGCCUAAUACAUGCAAGUAGAACGCUGAAGAGAGGAGCUUGCUCUUCUUGGAUGAGUUGCGAACGGGUGAGUAACGCGUAGGUAACCUGCCUUGUAGCGGGGGAUAACUAUUGGAAACGAUAGCUAAUACCGCAUAACAAUGGAUGACACAUGUCAUUUAUUUGAAAGGGGCAAUUGCUCCACUACAAGAUGGACCUGCGUUGUAUUAGCUAGUAGGUGAGGUAACGGCUCACCUAGGCGACGAUACAUAGCCGACCUGAGAGGGUGAUCGGCCACACUGGGACUGAGACACGGCCCAGACUCCUACGGGAGGCAGCAGUAGGGAAUCUUCGGCAAUGGGGGCAACCCUGACCGAGCAACGCCGCGUGAGUGAAGAAGGUUUUCGGAUCGUAAAGCUCUGUUGUAAGUCAAGAACGAGUGUGAGAGUGGAAAGUUCACACGGUGACGGUAGCUUACCAGAAAGGGACGGCUAACUACGUGCCAGCAGCCGCGGUAAUACGUAGGUCCCGAGCGUUGUCCGGAUUUAUUGGGCGUAAAGCGAGCGCAGGCGGUUUGAUAAGUCUGAAGUUAAAGGCUGUGGCUCAACCAUAGUUCGCUUUGGAAACUGUCAAACUUGAGUGCAGAAGGGGAGAGUGGAAUUCCAUGUGUAGCGGUGAAAUGCGUAGAUAUAUGGAGGAACACCGGUGGCGAAAGCGGCUCUCUGGUCUGUAACUGACGCUGAGGCUCGAAAGCGUGGGGAGCGAACAGGAUUAGAUACCCUGGUAGUCCACGCCGUAAACGAUGAGUGCUAGGUGUUGGAUCCUUUCCGGGAUUCAGUGCCGCAGCUAACGCAUUAAGCACUCCGCCUGGGGAGUACGACCGCAAGGUUGAAACUCAAAGGAAUUGACGGGGGCCCGCACAAGCGGUGGAGCAUGUGGUUUAAUUCGAAGCAACGCGAAGAACCUUACCAGGUCUUGACAUCCCGAUGCUAUUUCUAGAGAUAGAAAGUUACUUCGGUACAUCGGUGACAGGUGGUGCAUGGUUGUCGUCAGCUCGUGUCGUGAGAUGUUGGGUUAAGUCCCGCAACGAGCGCAACCCCUAUUGUUAGUUGCCAUCAUUCAGUUGGGCACUCUAGCGAGACUGCCGGUAAUAAACCGGAGGAAGGUGGGGAUGACGUCAAAUCAUCAUGCCCCUUAUGACCUGGGCUACACACGUGCUACAAUGGUUGGUACAACGAGUUGCGAGUCGGUGACGGCAAGCUAAUCUCUUAAAGCCAAUCUCAGUUCGGAUUGUAGGCUGCAACUCGCCUACAUGAAGUCGGAAUCGCUAGUAAUCGCGGAUCAGCACGCCGCGGUGAAUACGUUCCCGGGCCUUGUACACACCGCCCGUCACACCACGAGAGUUUGUAACACCCGAAGUCGGUGAGGUAACCUUUUGGAGCCAGCCGCCUAAGGUGGGAUAGAUGAUUGGGGUG